GGUCAUAACAAAAGAAAAUAGCUCAGUUGGUAGAGUAUGUGGCUACUGAUCUCAGGUUGUAGGUUUGAGCCCCAUGCUGGCCA